GACCCUGGCUCAGGAUGAACGCUAGCUACAGGCUUAACACAUGCAAGUCGAGGGGGCAGCAUGGUCUUAGCUUGCUAAGGCCGAUGGCGACCGGCGCACGGGUGAGUAACACGUAUCCAACCUGCCGUCUACUCUUGGACAGCCUUCUGAAAGGAAGAUUAAUACAAGAUGGCAUCAUGAGUCCGCAUGUUCACAUGAUUAAAGGUAUUCCGGUAGACGAUGGGG
rnacentral:rRNA from 1 species